rnacentral:rRNA from 1 species
GAUGAACGCUGGCGGCGUGCCUAAUACAUGCAAGUCGAGCGAACGGACGAGAAGCUUGCUUCUCUGAUGUUAGCGGCGGACGGGUGAGUAACACGUGGAUAACCUACCUAUAAGACUGGGAUAACUUCGGGAAACCGGAGCUAAUACCGGAUAAUAUUUUGAACCGCAUGGUUCAAAAGUGAAAGACGGUCUUGCUGUCACUUAUAGAUGGAUCCGCGCUGCAUUAGCUAGUUGGUAAGGUAACGGCUUACCAAGGCAACGAUGCAUAGCCGACCUGAGAGGGUGAUCGGCCACACUGGAACUGAGACACGGUCCAGACUCCUACGGGAGGCAGCAGUAGGGAAUCUUCCGCAAUGGGCGAAAGCCUGACGGAGCAACGCCGCGUGAGUGAUGAAGGUCUUCGGAUCGUAAAACUCUGUUAUUAGGGAAGAACAUAUGUGUAAGUAACUGUGCACAUCUUGACGGUACCUAAUCAGAAAGCCACGGCUAACUACGUGCCAGCAGCCGCGGUAAUACGUAGGUGGCAAGCGUUAUCCGGAAUUAUUGGGCGUAAAGCGCGCGUAGGCGGUUUUUUAAGUCUGAUGUGAAAGCCCACGGCUCAACCGUGGAGGGUCAUUGGAAACUGGAAAACUUGAGUGCAGAAGAGGAAAGUGGAAUUCCAUGUGUAGCGGUGAAAUGCGCAGAGAUAUGGAGGAACACCAGUGGCGAAGGCGACUUUCUGGUCUGUAACUGACGCUGAUGUGCGAAAGCGUGGGGAUCAAACAGGAUUAGAUACCCUGGUAGUCCACGCCGUAAACGAUGAGUGCUAAGUGUUAGGGGGUUUCCGCCCCUUAGCGCUGCAGCUAACGCAUUAAGCACUCCGCCUGGGGAGUACGACCGCAAGGUUGAAACUCAAAGGAAUUGGCGGGGACCCGCACAAGCGGUGGAGCAUGUGGUUUAAUUCGAAGCAACGCGAAGAACCUUACCAAAUCUUGACAUCCUUUGACAACUCUAGAGAUAGAGCCUUCCCCUUCGGGGGACAAAGUGACAGGUGGUGCAUGGUUGUCGUCAGCUCGUGUCGUGAGAUGUUGGGUUAAGUCCCGCAACGAGCGCAACCCUUAAGCUUAGUUGCCAUCAUUAAGUUGGGCACUCUAAGUUGACUGCCGGUGACAAACCGGAGGAAGGUGGGGAUGACGUCAAAUCAUCAUGCCCCUUAUGAUUUGGGCUACACACGUGCUACAAUGGACAAUACAAAGGGCAGCGAAACCGCGAGGUCAAGCAAAUCCCAUAAAGUUGUUCUCAGUUCGGAUUGUAGUCUGCAACUCGACUACAUGAAGCUGGAAUCGCUAGUAAUCGUAGAUCAGCAUGCUACGGUGAAUACGUUCCCGGGUCU